rfam:Richelia intracellularis HM01, WGS project CAIS01000000 data, contig: 00688
CGCUUAGGCAACUAAUAACCGGAGACAGCAGGUGCAAAUCGCUUAAUUUCCUGCCGAGGUCUGAUUGUAAAUUUAACUAGUUCUUUUGCCCUUAUUGCGGUAGUAGAUUCCAAGUUAGAACA